AUGGAUCCUUCGGUUCAAGCCUUCCUCGAGCGACUGGAGACCGCCCUGAAGGAGCACACCGCGGCGAUCCACGCCUCCAACAACAAGGUGGACGAUCUGGUGGCGUGGCGGCCCGAUCUCGAGCGGCACGUCGCCGAUCUGGGCGACUCCGUCGCCGCUCUUCAGCUCUCGCGUCCGACCAUCACCAAGGAGGGCGCGGCGACUCGGCCGUCUGCGUCGAGUGAUCUACCACCUACAACGACUGAUGUCCACCCCGACACCGUGUCUGGCGCGGUCGACCCUCCCAUCGGGCCUACUGGCCACGGCGUAUUCAACAUCUCUCGGGGGUCACCGGCGGCGUCCUUCCAGACGCCGCCGCCACUCCCGGCAAACGGUCAGAUCAAUUCCUCAACAAUUGCUCUGUCAUCUCAUUUCGCUCAUGCCAGCCAACUCCUCGCGGGGUUGGCCCAGGCGCAUCCUGCUAUUGUGUUUCCUAAUUUUGCGGGCGAAAAUCCUCGCCUCUGGAAGACGCUUUGUGAACAAUACUUCACCAUGUUUGGAAUUCACCGGUCGUUUUGGGUGCCCAUGGCUUCGCUUAAUUUUUCAGGGUCAGCCGCUGUUUGGCUGCAGUCAAUUCAGAAGAAAUUAUCUGAAUUCGACUGGGAGUCCUUUUCGGCUCUGUUAUGCACUUGUUUUGGUAGAGAUCGCCAUCACUUACUGAUCCAACAGUUUUAUGCUGUCAAGCAAACAUCCACAGUCACCGAUUACAUAGAGCGAUUUGAAUUACUUAUCAAUCAUUUGAGCUCUUAUUUGGACUCGAUUCACCCAUUCUACUUCCUUACUCGUUUUGUGGAAGGUUUACAGGCAGACAUAUGA
rnacentral:rRNA from 1 species